UACGAACGCUGGCGGCGUGCUUGACACAUGCAAGUCGAACGAUGAAGCCGGAGGUUGCUCCGGUGAAUUUGUGGCGAACGGGUGAGUAACACGUGAGUAACCUGCCCUUGACUCUGGGAGUACUGCGGGAAACUGUAGCUAAUACCGGAUACGACCCUCAGAUGCAUCCCCUAGGGGUGGAAAGAAUUUCGGUCAAGGAUGGACUCACGGCCUGUCUGCUAGGUGGUGAGGUAAAGGCUCACCAAGGCGACGACGGGUAGCUGGCCUGAGAGGGUGACCGGCCACACAGGGACUGAGAAACGGAACAGGCUCCGACGGGAGGCAGCAGUGGGGAAUAUUGGACAAUGGAGGGAAACCUGAUCCAGAAAUGACGCGUGAGUGAAGCAGGCCUUCGGGUUGUAAAGCUCCUUUGUCAGGGAAGAAACAGCCGCUCUAAUACAGUAUGCGAAUGACGGGACCUGAAGAAUAAGCACCGGCUAAC
rnacentral:rRNA from 1 species